UGACCUUCCAGGGCGCGUGCGUCGCGCGUGGGGCGCGUGAGGCACCGUUUUUCUUCCCGUUCGGUCUCUGUUUGCUUGUUUUCCGACCCGAUUUUGAUGCUGACCCUAUUAUUAUGUGAAUUAGGACUUGUGAAGAAAAUUCCAGAAUUGUUGGAAUCCAUUCCGUCAAGAAAACUUGAACUCGGGAAGGCACGCGUCGACCAUGCGAGUGAGGCCAGGGAUCGAGGCGGGAAUGCAUGCUGAAUCUUAAUGCCACAGAGGAGUGUCCCGGGGCGUCUAGGAGUCUGUGCAUAAUUUUGUUUAGAUUUGUCAUGCAUUGUUUUGUAAACCGCUUACUUACUAUUCAUAUUUGAACACCUUGUUUUGGAUUUUAAA